GAGUUUGCCAAUCCUUACAGCCAUAAAAGCAUCCUCACAAACUGCUGCGCGGUGCUGUGCGGCCCCUUCCAUCCCAGUUUGAUAGACAGAAGAGGAUUUAUCCAGCCAGAUGUCGGGACCCCGUCCAGCCCGAAGAGCGAAGUCCCUUCCUUCGGAGCCAAGCCUGACACCAGCAUGGAGGACGCCUGCCAGGACUUUGCCAUUUCCUGCACAGCCUGACGGGAUGUGCCCCCCUCCCGGGACGUUAGCCCUGCUUUCUGAGGGCUAGCUGCCUGCCGAGGGCAGCCGGCAGCCCUCUCUCUGCCUCUCUCGGAGCACCCCAAGGGAUGCCCAGACCCCGCGGGCAGUUCCCGAGACGACGACAGCCAUCAGCACCGCCUGUGCCUCCGCUCUCCAGGGCUGCGCCUUCCUCCCUCCCGCCGCCAGAGAAGGGGGAAAGCUGCCGUGCGCAAGGAAAAGCCUUCCCGGGCCGCCCUCCCACGGAUUCCGAGCUCAAAGCCAUACAGCAUCCCUCCCGAGUGCAAUAACUGGAGUUCCUGCUGCCUCCCGGGGUGGGGAAAACCCCACGCAACUGAGCCAGGGCCACCGGUGGCUCCCCGUAACCAGCCUUACCCCCCCAAGCUGGGGGCUCGCCGCUUGGAGAUGCUGGUUUUUGGGGGAGCAGGCUUGGUGUUGGGGCCGAGCUGCUGGUGUUACCCAUCCGAUCCCCCUGGGUUUUUCCCCAGCCCCUCUCUGACCCCCCCAUAGGAAGGGAUUCGGUGUGUGGUCAGCGUUCGCCCUCCCAACCCCUGCCCCACAAGUUCCCCGUGUUACUGUUGGUGUUAGCGGGGCUCUGAUUUAGGGGAAGGGUCCCCCCGUGGAGCCCCACGGGGCGGGAGACGCUUUGUGAGGCCCAGCUUAGAGCCCGGUAGGAUUUGCCACCUAUUUAUGCCUUUGACUUUUGUAACGAAAUAAAAUUUCUCCUAUUUC
rnacentral:lncRNA from 1 species